CACAGCCACAGCAGUGCAGGAUCCAAGCCAUGUCUACGACCUACAUCGCAGCUCACAGCAAUGCCAGAUCCUUAACCCACGGAGCGGGGCCAGGGAUCAAACCCGCUACCUCAUGGUUCCUAGUCAGGUUCGUUUCCACUGUGCCAUGACGGGAACUCCUAAACUUAAAAACAAACAAACAAACAAAAAAAACACUCCCUUUUAAACUUUUAAAGGUUUACUAAGUUUCAAGGACUCGUGCCAGGUCAGCAAGUUUAUCCAUGGACCACCCAGGAUAAAACCAAGACAUGUCUACAAAAACCCCACAUCUCUCCACCACCACUCGGCCUCCGCGCACAGCCCUCAGACCUCACUUCAGGGCUGUAGGACCUCAGCUGUGGCCCUACAGGUGCCAUCUGACCAGCAGCACAGCCACUGCUGGGAAUGUGUGGGAAAUACAAUUUUUGGACCUGCUGCCAAUGUACCAGACCGGAGAGCCUUGGGGCCCCAGCGGUUUCUGUUUCCAAGAGCUCUCCAGAAGAGGCUGAUGCCUGCCAGAGGGUCGGAAUCAUGAGCCUAACAUUUCCAGCCUCCGGGCAAUGGGGGGACAUGGACUGUCCUGUAUCAUCACCAUGGCUACCGCAGUCACCAGGGAGAGAGAGCCUGGCGUCACUGGCAGGCACCUCCCCUGGAACGUGGGCACUGAGAUCCAUGGCAACCCUCCUGGUCGGUACGGGAUUACCCCACACCCAGUUUUCAGACAGGCAGAAUGAUGCUUGGGGUGCACUGUCUGGGACCAAAGGAAGCCAAGGAAGAGUCAGCCCACCCUUGAUGCUUGGGGUGCAGUGUUUGGGACCAAGAGAAAGCAGAGGAGGAGCCAGCCCACCCUCUUAUGCCGUAACUCCCGCUCUCAGUCCCUGUGCAAACCCACCUCUUCUGGAAGGGCUCGUAUCGGCCAACCCUGAGCCCGGAAACCUCCAUCCCCUCAACCCCCCACACCCUCAUUGUGCAAACCGAGGCUCUCGUUUUGCCUUUGUCCCUGUUUCAGGCCUUCUUGUCAGACAAGAUGCAUGCAGGAGCUACGGCAGCAGCACUGCUGUGGGGCUUUCGCUGCCUAUAAAGAGGCCUCUGACUCAGCUGAGGGAAUUCGGCGGGAUGACGACUGGGGUCUCGCCCCGAGCGAACCAUCAGCCAAAGUCUCCUCGAGGGCAAGUUUGCUCCAAGGUUUCCCUUAAGACCUGGAGCAGAAUCAACCAGACCUGA
rnacentral:lncRNA from 1 species